CAGGCAGGGAGGUGGCAGUAUUGUAGCCGGCGGAUUGGGAUCAGUGAAGGACGGGGGAAGAGCGGCUAGGGAUGGGCGGCUGAUGAUGAGGUAGUCAGCGGUUAGUGCGGCGUCCAAGGUGACGGCGAGUAGGGAGGAGGAGGAAGAAGAACAGCUUGUGGAUAUUGACGCUUGUCAUAACGUUUGGGUGAUUGCACAACUGAUAUAUAAUUAAUGGGCAAAACAGUGGUAAUUGCUGACAAAAUUGAAAACGACCUACCUAAGUACGUACGGUGAAUCAGCAGGAGAGUUGAGUUACGAACAGAUCGAGGAGGGUGUGCCCAUGAUCAAUUUAUUUAUUCCUUUAUUCUUUUCUAUAUGUUGGUUUCCUAGCUAGGGUUGGGAAGACACCACGGGUAGGGUAGGAUGCAUCCUAUACUUCAGAAAAGAAUCAGUAUAUAUAUUAAACAUCCUAGAGGAGGCAUUUCUUGUAUUUUUUUCUUUUCUUUUUCAAGGGUGAUUGAUGUGAAAGAAUGACUUGUAGUAGGGAUUGAAAACUCGAAUGUAAUUCUUCCAAGAAGUGACUGAUGCAAUCCAUAGCCAAAGCUUCUUUAAGAAAAGAGAGACUCAAUUGUAGAGAACCAAUUCCAAUUCCUUCGAUUGGUCUAAUCCUAUUAUUAUAGGAGAUGAUAAUGCAUCUGCAAUGUACUUAUCUAGGCAGCUAGCUGGCUAGCACAUAUAUGUGUUUGUGCAAAUUUGGAGAUAUAUGCUGAACUCUCUACUUCCUCCGAUCCGAUCUUUAUAAAACAAUCUCACUCCAUCUAAGUCAAACAUUUUUUUUACCAUAACAUCAGUAUCUAUUAUUUUAUACAAAUUGACCAAACAAGAUUGACAUUACUAGCUAGAUCCCAUUCCCUUUUUAUUAAAGAAAAUAUAUUUUAAAAGAUAUUGCUAGUCAAAGUUAAAGUUUAAUUAAACAAAACUAGCCAUAUUUACAAACUCACGGUAAACUAUAAAGUCAUAUAGACAAACCAUAGUUUAUCUGAUCCUUUUAACCAAACUAUAGAUAUACUUAGUAGAACAACCUCUUGUGUUUAU
rnacentral:lncRNA from 1 species